rnacentral:rRNA from 1 species
GACGAACGCUGGCGGCGUGCUUAACACAUGCAAGUCGAGCGGUAAGGCCCUUUCGGGGGGUACACGAGCGGCGAACGGGUGAGUAACACGUGGGUGACCUGCCCUCAGCUCUGGGAUAAGCCUGGGAAACCGGGUCUAAUACUGGAUAUGACUCCAUGACGCAUGUUGUGGGGUGGAAAGCCUUGUGCGGCUGAGGAUGGGCCCGCGGCCUAUCAGCUUGUUGGUGGGGUGAUGGCCUACCAAGGCGACGACGGGUAGCCGGCCUGAGAGGGCGACCGGCCACACUGGGACUGAGACACGGCCCAGACUCCUACGGGAGGCAGCAGUGGGGAAUCUUGCGCAAUGGGCGAAAGCCUGACGCAGCGACGCCGCGUGAGGGAUGA